ACUGGUUGCAGCGGAGGUGGACAUGGCCAAGGCGACAGGUUCUUCCCUCGCGUCCGUCUGUUGCAGACGCUGCCAUCGGCUGCUCACCACCUCUGUAUGUUGCUAUGGAUGAUGCUCCCCUCCACUCAUCUUUUUAAUUUCCCAGUUUUUAUUUUCUCUUUUCAGUUCAUUCAAUUCAAGAAUCCACGGUCUAGGUUAGGAAAUCCCCAUGUCUGGACGCUGAGGAGUACGUCGCAACCACCUCGGCAAACGAUGCCACUGGCGCGUGGCGCCGGGAGCCAGCGUGGACGUGCAGAGCUUCCUGUGAUAAGAAUUAGUACUCAAGUAGUUGCUUAAAUUAAUAACAAGGAAACUGCCUUCUGCUUGGAAUGUUCAGACAAAAUCACUUAUAAUGGUGCAUGACUGGUUUAAAUAUAUAUUCUUCUGGAGCAAAGUAAGUGUUAUGGAUAGUUCAUCUUGGUCUGGAUACAGAUGUUUAAGUUAUAAUUCACAAACAAAAGUAACUUAGUUAGACGGUGACCAUUGCUGGUUAAGACUGGCCAAUUUGUUUUUAUGUGUUUGCCUGUUGGUUCAUGUCCUGGAUCACAUGGAAAUUAAAUCCACCGUUUGCUCGCAUAUUUUAUAAUGGGAUAUUUCGGACUGUGGGAGAAUUUUUUCCACCAUCUUUAUUGAAUUUUUUACAUGGAAAAUUCAGUAUUUUAGAGCUUUAGAGAUCAACAAGAAGCUCAGGGGUAAAAACACUCAACCCAUCUACUGUAUGCCUGUUGAGAGAUCUACUUUGCUUCUUUUGCAUAUCAGGUUUCUGUUGCCGUUGUUGUCAUAGAGGUUUGUACUAUACCAAACUAUUUGCAGGCAGGUUAAUCUCUAUCUUGAGGCAUGGUAUGUGUCUCCAUUCCCUUAAACAAACAUCCUUUUGUUUUUUUCUAGAAUCACUAAACAAGUGAGCAGUACCUUCAGUAGCCGCCGCCCACGGCGAUCGAAAGAUUCGGAAGCCUCCGAAGAUUGAAUGCGCUCCCAAGAAGGCAACAGAAUAUAAGCAAUGGAGGAAGUCAAAGUUGAAGAGAAAAACCAAAGAAUUGAGGAAAAUCUGACAUAGUUGGUGAAGGACAAUGAAUAUGUAACUAUAUUGAAAGAGGAUAUGAAAUGGAUUAAGCGUAAUGUUUAGCUCAUAAGAGUACCUUUUCUUCUCUGGUCAUGUUGGAAAUGCAAUUGUUUCGCUGCAUAUUAAUUGACAGUGUGUCUCUGUGAAUUUUUGUUUAGGCAACUUAAUUAUUGCAAACUUUACUUGUGUUC